AGUGAACGCUGGCGGUAGGCCUAACACAUGCAAGUCGAACGACAGCACAGUAAGCGUGUGCUCUUACGGGUGGCGAGUGGCGGACGGGUGAGGAAUACAUCAGAAUCUACUUUUUCGUGGGGGAUAACGUAGGAAAACUUACGCUAAUAGCGCAUAUGACGUACGGGAGAAAGCAGUAGAUCUUCGGGCCUUUCGCGACUGUAUUAGCCGAGGCCGGAUUAGCUAGUUGGUGGGGUAAAGGCAUACCAAGGCAACGAUCCGUAGCUGACCUGAGAGGAUGAUCAGCCACACUGGAACUGAGACACGGUCCAGACUCCUACGGGAGGCAGCAGUGGGGAAUCUUGGACAAUGGGCGCAAGCCUGACCGAGCAAUACCGCGUGGGUGAUGAAGGCCUUCGGGUCGUAAAGCUCUGUUAUUGGGAAAGAAAAGCUGCAGAUGAAAAUACCGCUGUUUUGACGGUACCCAAAGAAAAAGCACCGGCUAACUUCGUG
rnacentral:rRNA from 1 species